rnacentral:rRNA from 1 species
AUUGAACGCUGGCGGCAGGCCUAACACAUGCAAGUCGAGCGGAUGAAGGGAGCUUGCUCCUGUAUUCAGCGGCGGACGGGUGAGUAAUUCCUAGGAAUCUGCCUGGUAGUGGGGGAUAACGUCCGGAAACGGGCGCUAAUACCGCAUACGUCCUGAUGUAGAAAGUGGGGGAUCUUCGGACCUCACGCUAUCUGAUGAGCCUGGGUCGGAUUAGCUAGUUGGUGGGGUAAAGGCCUACCAAGGCGACGAUCCGUAACUGGUCUGAGAGGAUGAUCAGUCACACUGGAACUGAGACACGGUCCAGACUCCUACGGGAGGCAGCAGUAGGGAAUAUUGGACAAUGGGCGAAAGCCUGAUCCAGCAAUGCCGCGUGAGUGAAGAAGGUCUUCGGAUUGUAAAGCACUUUAAGUUGGGAGGAAGGGAAGUAAGUGAAUACAUUGAUGUUUUGACGUUACCAACAGAAUAAGCAACGGCUAACUUCGUG